GUGGUGCCGCCCACGCAGUUGCUGCCCCGGCUUGGGAGCGCGUCCUGCCCGCCAGCGGGCUCCUCUCGAACGGGGACAUGAGGAGGGGGCCCCGGGGCUCGGGCUGGAGGGCGCUGGGGGCCUCGAGGGUCUCUGGUACUGGCGCCGGGGCACAAUCCAGAGCCCUGCGCGCCGCCCGGGCUGCGGAGGCCCCGAUCUGAGCGCGCCCCCCGCCACCCUCGGCGCCCACCCAGCCGACCUGGCCUUGGGCCGGGGCUCCACGGGGCCUCCCGGUGGGGCGUGGACUGGGGUGGGAAGAGGAUUGGCAUCUGGCGCCUUUUCUGGCCUCCCCCAACUCUGGAAUUCCUGAGAGAGGGGAGGGGACAGCCCUCCCCGCCCUCACCCUGCCCUGGGGCUGCUCUCUCGGCAGGACCAGGCGGUCCAGCGAAGGAGUCGACUCCAGCGAAGGCAGAGCUUUGCGGUGCUCCGUGGGGCUGUCCUGGGACUGCAGGAUGGAGGGGACAAUGAUGAUGCAGCAGAGGCUAGUUCUGAGCCAACAGAGGAG
rnacentral:sRNA from 1 species